rnacentral:rRNA from 1 species
UACAGAGGAGCCAAGCGUUGUCCGGAUUGACUGGGCGUAAAGCGCACGCAGGCGGCAUCGCGCGUGGGGUGUGAAAUCUGGCCGCUUAACGGCCAGGCGCCAUCCCAUACGGCGAGGCUGGAGCGAUGCAGAGGUCGGUGGAAUUGCCGGUGUAGUGGUGAAAUGCGUAGAGAUCAGGCAGAACACCUGGGGCGAAGGCGGCCAGCUGGGCCGUCCCUGACGCUGAGGCGCGAAGGCGUGGGGAGCGAACGGG